UGCCACCUGCCCAGUGAAUGCUUCUUUUAAACAGCCGUGGCAUCCUAACCGUGUAAAGGUAGCUUAAUCACUUGUCUCCUAAAUAGGGACCAGUAUGAAUGGCUAAAUGAGGGCCCAACUGUCUCAUAUGAUUGCCAAUGAAACUGCUCUCUCAGUACAAAAGCUGGGAUACACCCACAAGACGAAAAGACCCUGUGGAACUUCAACUAUACUAUCAGCCCAGCCACAAAACAGCCAACAAGGCUGCCAUACCAUGCUCAUCCCAUUGAUAGGAAGUUUAAGUUGGGGCGACUGUGGAGCAAAAACAAACCUCCAUGCACCCUAUACCACCAGGCCAACUAGCCAAAGUAUUUUAUAUUAAGACCCAGUACUACUGAACAACGAGCCAAGCUACCCCAGGGAUAACAGCACCGUCCUCUUUAAGAGUUCCUAUCACCAAGAGGGUUUACGGCCUCAAUGUUGGAUCAGGGCUUCCCAGUGGUGCAGCCACUACUAAUGGUCCGUUUGUUCAAUGAUCAAUGCCCU
rnacentral:rRNA from 1 species